GGCGAACGGGUGAGUAACACGUGAGUAACCUGCCCUUAACUCUGGGAUAAGCCUGGGAAACUGGGUCUAAUACCGGAUAUGACUGAUCAUCGCAUGGUGGUUGGUGGAAAGCUUUUUGUGGUUUUGGAUGGACUCGCGGCCUAUCAGCUUGUUGGUGAGGUAAUGGCUUACCAAGGCGACGACGGGUAGCCGGCCUGAGAGGGUGACCGGCCACACUGGGACUGAGACACGGCCCAGACUCCUACGGGAGGCAGCAGUGGGGAAUAUUGCACAAUGGGCGCAAGCCUGAUGCAGCGACGCCGCGUGAGGGAUGACGGCCUUCGGGUUGUAAACCUCUUUCAGUAGGGAAGAAGCGAAAGUGACGGUACCUGCAGAAGAAGCGCCGGCUAACUACCUGCCAGCAGCCGCGGUAAUACGUAGGGCGCAAGCGUUAUCCGGAAUUAUUGGGCGUAAAGAGCUCGUAGGCGGUUUGUCGCGUCUGCCGUGAAAGUCCGGGGCUCAACUCCGGAUCUGCGGUGGGUACGGGCAGACUAGAGUGAUGUAGGGGAGACUGGAAUUCCUGGUGUAGCGGUGAAAUGCGCAGAUAUCAGGAGGAACACCGAUGGCGAAGGCAGGUCUCUGGGCAUUAACUGACGCUGAGGAGCGAAAGCAUGGGGAGCGAACAGGAUUAGAUACCCUGGUAGUCCAUGCCGUAAACGUUGGGCACUAGGUGUGGGGGACAUUCCACGUUUUCCGCGCCGUAGCUAACGCAUUAAGUGCCCCGCCUGGGGAGUACGGCCGCAAGGCUAAAACUCAAAGGAAUUGACGG
rnacentral:rRNA from 1 species